AGACUAGAAUGAAUGGAUUAAUGGGGCGUUGCUUUCUUAAAUUAAAGAUUAAAAAUAAUUUUUUUAGUGAAGAAACUAAAAUAAUAAUGAGGGACGAGAAGACCCUAUUAAGCUUGAUAUAAUUAUUUUGUUGGGGAAACAAAAGAAUAAUUUUUCUUUAAUUUUUAAUUUUUUGAUAAAAUUUGAUUUUUUAUUAAAGAUAAUAGAAUAAGUUACUAUAGGGAUAACAGCAUAAUUUUUUUUAAAAGUUCUUAUUUACAAAGAAGAUUAUGACCUCGAUGUUGGAUUAAAAUAAUUAUAUAAUGAAGUUGUUUUAUAAAUUAGUCUGUUCGACUAUUAAAUUUUUAC
rnacentral:rRNA from 1 species